AAAUAAUAUAAAUAAAAUUUUUCACUUGGAAAUCAAAAUGUUGAAUUUUAUUAAGAAACAGUAUCUACAAUUUUUGUAACUACUAAGGCACUUACCACCACGUCGACCGUACCACAGAUCAACGACAGGCAGAUCGUCUGAAAGAAAUCGGUAAGAUAUGUCGUUAACAUACGUUCCGAAUAUAUAUUCAAGUGUCAUUUAAAACAAUGAUACCAACAUGACAUUUAAAAUUCACCAGCAGAAGGAGUUAGCUGGUGUCUUGUGUUUUUCAAUCUUUCGCAUUCAACUUCAUAUAGAUUAAAAGGAUUAAAUUUGCAUAAAUAAAUUAUUGACAUUGAAAACAUUUUAUUCAGUCAGUAAGAAGCAUUCUACAUGAUGAUGAUGAUGAUGAUGUUGAUGAAGAUGAUGAUGAUAAUGAUGAUGAUCAUGAUAAUGAUAAUAUAAUAAUAAUAAUCAGAAUAAUCAUAAUUAUAAUAAUAAUAAUAUUAAUUUAUAAUAAUAAUUCAUUCAUAAUAACCAUUUGUAAUAUACAGGUAAUUCUCUCGCGCGCACACGCUCGCUCUCGUUCUCUCACGUACACUAAAUUGUCUUAAUACAUAAAUUAUAGAAAAUUCAUCAAUAAAUGAAAUAUUACAUUCUUCAGACUAUAAAUGUAGUCAAUAAAUCAUUUUAUACUCGUU